rnacentral:rRNA from 1 species
CGCCUAUUAGCUAGCCCCACCCCUUAACACAACAAACCCCCAUUCAUAACCCCUAAAGCACGAAACACCCACGUAGCUAAACCAUUCUCCCCCCUAAGUCCAGGCGAUAAAAA